rnacentral:rRNA from 1 species
UGGGGAAUAAUGCACAAUGGGCGCAAGCCUGAUGCAGCCAUGCCGCGUGUAUGAAGAAGGCCUUCGGGUUGUAAAGUACUUUCAGCGAGGAGGAAGGCGUUGUGGUUAAUAACCGCAGCGAUUGACGUUACUCGCAGAAGAAGCACCGGCUAACUCCGUGCCAGCAGCCGCGGUAAUACGGAGGGUGCAAGCGUUAAUCGGAAUUACUGGGCGUAAAGCGCACGCAGGCGGUCUGUCAAGUCGGAUGUGAAAUCCCCGGGCUCAACCUGGGAACUGCAUCCGAAACUGGCAGGCUAGAGUCUUGUAGAGGGGGGUAGAAUUCCAGGUGUAGCGGUGAAAUGCGUAGAGAUCUGGAGGAAUACCGGUGGCGAAGGCGGCCCCCUGGACAAAGACUGACGCUCAGGUGCGAAAGCGUGGGGAGCAAACA